rnacentral:rRNA from 1 species
UUAAGCGACUAAGCGUACACGGUGGAUGCCCUGGCAGUCAGAGGCGAUGAAGGACGUGCUAAUCUGCGAUAAGCGUCGGUAAGGUGAUAUGAACCGUUAUAACCGGCGAUUUCCGAAUGGGGAAACCCAGUGUGAUUCGUCACACUAUCAUUAACUGAAUCCAUAGGUUAAUGAGGCGAACCGGGGGAACUGAAACAUCUAAGUACCCGAGGAAAAGAAAUCAACCGAGAUUCCCCCAGUAGCGGCGAGCGAACGGGGAGCAGCCCAGAGCCUGAAUCAGUGUGUGUGUUAGUGGAAGCGUCUGGAAAGGCGUGCGAUACAGGGUGACAGCCCCGUACACAAAAAUGCACAUACUGUGAGCUCGAUGAGUAGGGCGGGACACGUGGUAUCCUGUCUGAAUAUGGGGGGACCAUCCUCCAAGGCUAAAUACUCCUGACUGACCGAUAGUGAACCAGUACCGUGAGGGAAAGGCGAAAAGAACCCCGGCGAGGGGAGUGAAAAAGAACCUGAAACCGUGUACGUACAAGCAGUGGGAGCACAGAGCAAUCUGUGUGACUGCGUACCUUUUGUAUAAUGGGUCAGCGACUUAUAUUCUGUAGCAAGGUUAACCGAAUAGGGGAGCCGAAGGGAAACCGAGUCUUAACUGGGCGUUAAGUUGCAGGGUAUAGACCCGAAACCCGGUGAUCUAGCCAUGGGCAGGUUGAAGGUUGGGUAACACUAACUGGAGGACCGAACCGACUAAUGUUGAAAAAUUAGCGGAUGACUUGUGGCUGGGGGUGAAAGGCCAAUCAAACCGGGAGAUAGCUGGUUCUCCCCGAAAGCUAUUUAGGUAGCGCCUCGUGAAUUCAUCUCCGGGGGUAGAGCACUGUUUCGGCAAGGGGGUCAUCCCGACUUACCAACCCGAUGCAAACUGCGAAUACGGAGAAUGUUAUCACGGGAGACACACGGCGGGUGCUAACGUCCGUCGUGAAGAGGGAAACAACCCAGACCGCCAGCUAAGGUCCCAAAGUCAUGGUUUAAGUGGGAAACGAUGUGGGAAGGCCCAGACAGCCAGGAUGUUGGCUUAGAAGCAGCCAUCAUUUAAAGAAAGCGUAAUAGCUCACUGGUCGAGUCGGCCUGCGCGGAAGAUGUAACGGGGCUAAACCAUGCACCGAAGCUGCGGCAGCGACGCUUAUGCGUUGUUGGGUAGGGAGCGUUCUGUAAGCCUGCGAAGGUGUGCUGUGAGGCAUGCUGGAGGUAUCAGAAGUGCGAAUGCUGACAUAAGUAACGAUAAAGCGGGUGAAAAGCCCGCUCGCCGGAAGACCAAGGGUUCCUGUCCAACGUUAAUCGGGGCAGGGGUGAGUCGACCCCUAAGGCGAGGCCGAAAGGCGUAGUCGAUGGGAAACAGGUUAAUAUUCCUGUACUUGGUGUUACUGCGAAGGGGGGACGGAGAAGGCUAUGUUGGCCGGGCGACGGUUGUCCCGGUUUAAGCGUGUAGGCUGGUUUUCCAGGCAAAUCCGGAAAAUCAAGGGCUGAGGCGUGAUGACGAGGCACUACGGUGCUGAAGCAACAAAUGCCCUGCUUCCAGGAAAAGCCUCUAAGCAUCAGGUAACAUCAAAUCGUACCCCAAACCGACACAGGUGGUCAGGUAGAGAAUACCAAGGCGCUUGAGAGAACUCGGGUGAAGGAACUAGGCAAAAUGGUGCCGUAACUUCGGGAGAAGGCACGCUGAUAUGUAGGUGAAGUCCCUCGCGGAUGGAGCUGAAAUCAGUCGAAGAUACCAGCUGGCUGCAACUGUUUAUUAAAAAACACAGCACUGUGCAAACACGAAAGUGGACGUAUACGGUGUGACGCCUGCCCGGUGCCGGAAGGUUAAUUGAUGGGGUCAGCGCAAGCGAAGCUCUUGAUCGAAGCCCCGGUAAACGGCGGCCGUAACUAUAACGGUCCUAAGGUAGCGAAAUUCCUUGUCGGGUAAGUUCCGACCUGCACGAAUGGCGUAAUGAUGGCCAGGCUGUCUCCACCCGAGACUCAGUGAAAUUGAACCUCGCUGUGAAGAUGCAGUGUAACCCGCGGCAAGACGGAAAGACCCCGUGAACCUUUACUAUAGCUUGACACUGAACAUUGAGCCUUGAUGUGUAGGAUAGGUGGGAGGCUUUGAAGUGUGGACGCCAGUCUGCAUGGAGCCGGCCUUGAAAUACCACCCUUUAAUGUUUGAUGUUCUAACGUGGACCCGUAUCCGGGUUGCGGACAGUGUCUGGGUGGGUAGUUUGACUGGGGCGGUCUCCUCCUAAAGAGUAACGGAGGAGCACGAAGGUUGGCUAAUCCUGGUCGGACAUCAGGAGGUUAGUGCAAUGGCAUAAGCCAGCUUGACUGCGAGCGUGACGGCGCGAGCAGGUGCGAAAGCAGGUCAUAGUGAUCCGGUGGUUCUGAAUGGAAGGGCCAUCGCUCAACGGAUAAAAGGUACUCCGGGGAUAACAGGCUGAUACCGCCCAAGAGUUCAUAUCGACGGCGGUGUUUGGCACCUCGAUGUCGGCUCAUCACAUCCUGGGGCUGAAGUAGGUCCCAAGGGUAUGGCUGUUCGCCAUUUAAAGUGGUACGCGAGCUGGGUUUAGAACGUCGUGAGACAGUUCGGUCCCUAUCUGCCGUGGGCGCUGGAGAACUGAGGGGGGCUGCUCCUAGUACGAGAGGACCGGAGUGGACGCAUCACUGGUGUUCGGGUUGUCAUGCCAAUGGCACUGCCCGGUAGCUAAAUGCGGAAGAGAUAAGUGCUGAAAGCAUCUAAGCACGAAACUUGCCCCGAGAUGAGUUCUCCCUGACUCCUUGAGAGUCCUGAAGGAACGUUGAAGACGACGACGUUGAUAGGCCGGGUGUGUAAGCGCAGCGAUGCGUUGAGCUAACCGGUACUAAUGAACCGUGAGGCUUAACCUU